GGCUGGUCCAAGUGCAGUGAUGUUUACAACUAAUUUAUCACAAUCACUUACAGAUUUCUUUGUUCCUUCACCAUUCCCACUGUUUCACUUGACUAGCCUAAA
ensembl:misc_RNA Y_RNA Y RNA